rnacentral:lncRNA from 1 species
GGCGGGGGCAGAAAAAUUGAAUACAUGAAGCAUGUAUUUCUUAUCUACUUAAGAUUUUCAGUAAUUGUCCAAAACAACCGAUUUAGACUCAAGAUUAAAUAUUUGACAGCAUAAACCAGAUAAAUAUACCUCUCUGCAACCAGAUGCUCCGCAUGGCGCAGCUUUAUACGACCGCAGAGUUCGAACCAUGAACAGUUUGGGCAAGUAUGGACA